AACGAACGCUGGCGGCAUGCCUAACACAUGCAAGUCGAACGAGACCUUCGGGUCUAGUGGCGCACGGGUGCGUAACGCGUGGGAACCUGCCCUUAGGUUCGGAAUAACUCCCCGAAAGGGGUGCUAAUAACGGAUAAUGUCUUCGGACCACAGAUUUGUCGCCUUUGGAUGGGCCCGCGUUGGAUUAGCUAGUUGGUAGGGUAAAAGCCUACCAAGGCGACGAUCCAUAGCUGGGCUGAGAGGAUGAGCAGCCACACUGGGACUGGGACACGGCCCAGACUCCUACGGGAGGCAGCAGUGGGGAAUAUUGGACAAUGGGCUAAAGCCUGAUCCAGCAAGGCCGCGUGAGUGAUGAAGGCCUUAGGGUUGUAAAGCUCUUUUACCCGGGAUGAUAAUGACAGUACCGGGAGAAUAAGCUCCGGCUAACUCCGUG
rnacentral:rRNA from 1 species